GUGGGGAAUAUUGGACAAUGGGCGCAAGCCUGAUCCAGCCAUGCCGCGUGUGUGAAGAAGGCCUUUUGGUUGUAAAGCACUUUAAGCGAGGAGGAGGCUCCUUUAGUUAAUACCUAAAGAGAGUGGACGUUACUCGCAGAAUAAGCACCGGCUAACUCUGUGCCAGCAGCCGCGGUAAUACAGAGGGUGCGAGCGUUAAUCGGAUUUACUGGGCGUAAAGCGUGCGUAGGCGGCUUUUUAAGUCGGAUGUGAAAUCCCUGGGCUUAACUUAGGAAUUGCAUUCGAUACUGGAAAGCUAGAGUAUGGGAGAGGAUGGUAGAAUUCCAGGUGUAGCGGUGAAAUGCGUAGAGAUCUGGAGGAAUACCGAUGGCGAAGGCAGCCAUCUGGCCUAAUACUGACGCUGAGGUACGAAAGCAUGGGGAGCAAACAGGAUUAGAUACCCUAGUAGUCC
rnacentral:rRNA from 1 species